CAGUUUCUUUUAUAUUUUUUAGAUCCGAAAUUUUCAUUCUUAAAUUUUGAUAAUAAAUUCGUAGAUCCAACUUUUGUAAGUUCAGAGACAAGAUUUCUUCAUUUCCUACUCAUAUCAAGGUUACCUCCAUUUCCACUCUACCUAUAUUUGUUAACCUUUGAAUCAAGAACAAAAACCAAUAGCAAUUAUACACACACACACACACUUACUAUAUGUUCUAAUCUAUUACAUGUACAAUCAUUUUUUUUAGAGUAAUGAACGGAAAGAACAGUUUUUAAAGAGAAAAAGCCUAAUCUAUGCUAUUGUGAAUCUUGAACUGAAUUUGGGGGUUGUUUCUCUGUCUUGUGUGUGUUCUGACUGAAUUUGGGAGAGGGCGAGGAGCAACCGGCGGCUGCUCAGCGUCGGCAACGGCGGUGGCGAGACGGCAGGGCCGUCUUUCUUCAUUUUCUGCCAAAAUCGAGAGAGAACAGAGCAGAGAGUGAGAGAGCAGAGCAGAGAGCCCGAGAGAAGAGCAGAGAGCGAGAGAGCAGAGCAGAAAGAGAAGAGAGUGAGGGAGCAGAGAAGAGAGCGAGGGAGCAGAGCAAAGAGAGAAGAGAGCGAGAGAACAGAGCAGAGAGAGAAGAUAGUAAAUAGUGAGAGAGCAGAGCAGAGAGCGAGAGAGAGAGAGAGAGAGAGAGAGUUUGUGGUGUGUGCGUGUGUUUGUGCGUGUUCAUGUGUGUGUGUGUGUGUGUGUGUGUGUGUGUGUGUUUUAAAUGAAGAAGAAGGAUUUUGGGCCUUGCCCUAAUUAAUUUGGGCCAAAAAUGGGCUGCCAUUUUUUUAAAAAAAGAAAGUGGGUUAAUUUUAAUCAUGUUUUGGGCCUUUGUUCUAAGUUAAAGAAAUGGGCUGCUAUUUAUUUAUUCGUUAAAUUUUGAAAAACCCGGCUAAGUGAAUUAUAGGAUGUUAAGCACUUUACCAUGGCUUAAGAUUAUAGACUUCUUAUAGGCUUUUUGGAUCGUGAGGACUAGGACGACUAUUCCGGUUCAAAGAUUAGAUAAACGACAGGCUUUGCCUAAUCAGGUGGGCUUAUUUUUCAAAUGUAUGUUUGAGUUAUUAAGCUCUAAAUGUUUCAUGAAUUUAAAACUGUUUAUCCAAUAAAUAUUUUUGUGCGCUCUGUUAUGUUUAAGGCUCGUAAUUCAUGGAUCGAUCGAGGUUCUCUUAUGACCUAACACGUUGUUUGAGAAUUGUGUACACUUGUUAGUUGUUUCGGUGGGUUGAUCUUCAUCGGGCACUAAUUCAUGUCAGAGGCGUUAUAAGGGUGCUUGGCUGGAUGUGUUCAGGAGCAUGUAUCAUGUAAGACCUGCCUAGGUAGCGUCCCGAGGUCAAUUAAACUUGUCUGAAUUACGUCCUCAGGGCAAGUGUUAUGGGAGAAAGCGAUACGUCGGUGGCUAAAAGGUCCGGUAUCACAACGAGUAACUAAACAGAGUGUGACAAUGGCGCGCUAAUAAAUGAAAUGUUUUAACAUGCUUAGAAGUUCUUUUACUUUAAAACCUUUUAAGUUAUGUCAUGAAUGAUUGGAUAAACUGCUCUUACGAAUUGUGAAAUGUUUUAAAAGUUGCAGUCCACUAAGUACAUUAGUACUUAGCCCAAAUAUUUUCAAAUGUUUUUCAGGUUGAUGGCUGGUGUUGACGUGGAGAGUUGAGGCUAGGGUUCAACUCCGUGUUUUGACUUCCGAUGUAGUAUUAACCUUUAAUUGUCUUUCGUUUCCUUGACUUAAGACCUUUAUGUUAUGACUCUAUUCGAUAUCUUUUGUUGAGCCUAGACUUUUGACUCUCAAGUAUUUUGAUUAAUGAAUGUUGGUUAUCUGAAGCAUGAAACUAAACUUGUGAUCUUGAAGUUGUUGUGUUUGUUGAUUGAUUUGUAUCAAUUGGAUAUUUAUCUUUCUUCAUCCAAAGGGGCAAUGCCCGAUUGUUAUCCCUUUUAUUCGGAUUUCACAAGGUUUUUCUCUUGUUCAAUUUAAUGAUGAGUCGUACCCCCAGUUAUAGUUAUUGUUUCAAGAAUUGGGGUGUGACAAUCAGCCUGUCUUUUUACUCACCGAAUUGUAUCUUCAGUCAGAUAGUCUUUUGCUUGUUGAUUAAUCGUUACCAGUUGGCUUACUAAUUAUGAACUGAGUUGUUCAACACUNCAUUAAUUCUUCCAGUUUCUUUUAUAUUUUUCAGAUCCAAAAUUUUCAUUCUAAAUUUUGAUAAUGAAUUCGCUGAUCCAACUUUUGUAAGUUCAGAGACAAGAUUUCCUCAUUUCCUACUCAUAUCAAGGUUCCCUCCAUUUUCACUCUACCUAUAUUUGUUAACCUUUGAAUCAAGAACAAAGAACCAUAGCAAUUAUACACACACACACUUACUAUAUGUUCUAAUCUGUACAAUCAAUUUUUUAUAGUAAUGAACGGAAAGAACAGUUUUUAAAGAGAAAAAGCAUAAUCUAUGCUAUUGUGAAUCUUGAACUGAAUUUGGGGGUUGUUUCUCUGUCUUGUGUGUGUGCUGACUGAAUUUGGGAGAGGUGUGAGGAGCAGCCGGCUGCUCGGCGCCGGAAACGGCGG
rnacentral:lncRNA from 1 species